rnacentral:pre_miRNA from 1 species
AUGUAGGGCAAUCUCUCUUUAAGUAGGGAUAAAUUACUCUAAAAAAAUUACUCUAAAAUUCUAGAUAGUUUUCCUUUUAAGUCAAGUGUCUUGU